rnacentral:rRNA from 1 species
GAUGAACGCUGGCGGCGUGCUUAACACAUGCAAGUCGAACGGGAAACCUUUUAUUGAAGCUUCGGCAGAUUUAGCUGGUUUCUAGUGGCGGACGGGUGAGUAACGCGUGGGUAACCUGCCUUAUACAGGGGGAUAACAACCAGAAAUGUUUGCUAAUACCGCAUAAGCGCACAGGACCGCAUGGUCCGGUGUGAAAAACUCCGGUGGUAUAAGAUGGACCCGCGUUGGAUUAGCUAGUUGGCAGGGUAACGGCCUACCAAGGCGACGAUCCAUAGCCGGCCUGAGAGGGUGAACGGCCACAUUGGGACUGAGACACGGCCCAGACUACUACGGGAGGCAGCAGUGGGGAAUAUUGCACAAUGGGGGAAACCCUGAUGCAGCGACGCCGCGUGAAGGAAGAAGUUUCUCGGUAUGUAAACUUCUAUCAGCAGGGAAGAUAGUGACGGUACCUGACUAAGAAGCCCCGGCUAACUACGUG